UGUACAAGUCUUGUUCGAUGCAUGAGGUGAUUAUGAUAUAGGAUAGAGUUUGUACAAGUCUUGUUCGAUGUAUCAUGUAUGAGGUGAUUAUGAUAUAGGAUAGAGUUUGUACAAGUCUUGUUCGAUGCAUGAGGCGAUUAUGCCAUAGGAUAGAGUUUGUACAAGUCUUGUUCGAUGCAUGAGGCGAUUAUGCCAUAGGAUAGAGUUUGUACAAGUCUUGUUUGAUGCAUGAGGUGAUUAUGAUAUAGGAUAGAGUUUGUACAAGUCUUGUUCGAUGCAUGAGGUGAUUAUGAUAUAGGAUAGAGUUUGUACAAGUCUUGUUCGAUGCAUGAGGUGAUUAUGAUAUAGGAUAGAGUUUGUACAAGUCUUGUUCGAUGCAUGAGGCGAUUAUGCCAUAGGAUAGAGUUUGUACAAGUCUUGUUCGAUGCAUGAGGCGAUUAUGCCAUAGGAUAGAGUUUGUACAAGUCUUGUUCGAUGCAUGAGGUGAUUAUGAUAUAGGAUAGAGUUUGUACAAGUCUUGUUCGAUGCAUGAGGUGAUUAUGAUAUAGGAUAGAGUUUGUACAAGUCUUGUUCGAUGCAUGAGGUGAUUAUGAUAUAGGAUAGAGUUUGUACAAGUCUUGUUUGAUGC